UACGUAGGGUGCAGGCGUUAAUCGGAAUUACUGGGCGUAAAGCGUGCGCAGGCGGCUCUUUAAGUCAGAUGUGAAAGCCCCGGGCUUAACCUGGGAAUUGCGUUUGAAACUGGAGAGCUGGAGUGUGGAAGAGGGGGGUGGAAUUCCAGGUGUAGCAGUGAAAUGCGUAGAGAUCUGGAGGAACACCGAUGGCGAAGGCAGCCCCCUGGGCUAACACUGACGCUCAUGCACGAAAGCGUGGGGAGCAAACAGG
rnacentral:rRNA from 2 species